rnacentral:rRNA from 1 species
AGCAUAUCCAAUAAGCGGGAGGAAAAGAAACCCAACAGGGGAUUGCCCCCAGUAACGGCGAGUGAAGCGGCAACAGCUCAGAUUUGGAAUCUGGCCCCCAGGGCCCGAGUUGUAAUCUGGAGAGGAUGCUUCUGGCGCGGCGCCUUCCGAGUUCCCUGGAACGGGACGCCGGAGAGGGUGAGAGCCCCGUACGGUUGGACGCCUAGCCUUUGUGAAGCUCCUUCGACGAGUCGAGUAGUUUGGGAAUGCUGCUCAAAAUGGGAGGUAAAUUUCUUCUAAAGCUAAAUACCGGCCAGAGACCGAUAGCGCACAAGUAGAGUGAUCGAAAGAUGAAAAGCACUUUGAAAAGAGGGUCAAACAGUACGUGAAAUUGUUGAAAGGGAAGCGCCCGUGGCCAGACUUGUGCCCCGCGGACCACCCGGCGCCCUCAGCGCCGGUGCACUCCGCGGGGCGCAGGCCAGCAUCGGUUUUCCUAGGGGGAUAAAGGCGGCGGGAACGUGGCUCCUUCGGGAGUGUUAUAGCCCGUCGUGCCAUGCCCCUGGGGGGACCGAGGACCGCGCUUCGGCAAGGAUGCUGGCGUAAUGGCCACCGGCGACCCGUCUUGAAACACGGACCAAGGAGUCAAGCAUUGGGGCGAGUGUCUGGGUGCCAAACCCGCACGCGAAAUGAAAGUGAACGCA